UUUAUCCAAAAAUAGAACAGGCAGCUAUCACGCCCUAGUGGUCUUAAAGAGAUACCGGAGGACCACUCGGUUGGAUAAU
ncrna:unclassified sequences skipping-rope RNA